rnacentral:rRNA from 1 species
GGGUUGUGAGGUUAAGCGACUAAGCGUACACGGUGGAUGCCCUGGCAGUCAGAGGCGAUGAAGGACGUGCUAAUCUGCGAUAAGCGCCGGUAAGGUGAUAUGAACCGUUAUAACCGGCGAUUUCCGAAUGGGGAAACCCAGUGUGAUUCGUCACACUAUCAUUAACUGAAUCCAUAGGUUAAUGAGGCGAACCGGGGGAACUGAAACAUCUAAGUACCCCGAGGAAAAGAAAUCAACCGAGAUUCCCCCAGUAGCGGCGAGCGAACGGGGAGGAGCCCAGAGCCUGAAUCAGCAUGUGUGUUAGUGGAAGCGUCUGGAAAGGCGCGCGAUACAGGGUGACAGCCCCGUACACAAAAGCGCAUGUGCUGUGAGCUCGAUGAGUAGGGCGGGACACGUGGUAUCCUGUCUGAAUAUGGGGGGACCAUCCUCCAAGGCUAAAUACUCCUGACUGACCGAUAGUGAACCAGUACCGUGAGGGAAAGGCGAAAAGAACCCCGGCGAGGGGAGUGAAAAAGAACCUGAAACCGUGUACGUACAAGCAGUGGGAGCCCCACCACCAAAGCAUUCUCUGGUGUUGAAGGCCCUGCAAAGCAGCAUCGCGGUGGCGGAGCGUCGUUUGCGACGCCCAACACACAAAACAAGCGGUGAAUGCUUUGGGGUGGGGUGACUGCGUACCUUUUGUAUAAUGGGUCAGCGACUUAUAUUCUGUAGCAAGGUUAACCGUAUAGGGGAGCCGGAGGGAAACCGAGUCUUAAUUGGGCGUUAAGUUGCAGGGUAUAGACCCGAAACCCGGUGAUCUAGCCAUGGGCAGGUUGAAGGUUGGGUAACACUAACUGGAGGACCGAACCGACUAAUGUUGAAAAAUUAGCGGAUGACCUGUGGCUGGGGGUGAAAGGCCAAUCAAACCGGGAGAUAGCUGGUUCUCCCCGAAAGCUAUUUAGGUAGCGCCUCGUGAAUUCAUCUCCGGGGGUAGAGCACUGUUUCGGCUAGGGGGCCAUCCCGGCUUACCAACCCGAUGCAAACUGCGAAUACCGGAGAAUGUUAUCACGGGAGACACACGGCGGGUGCUAACGUCCGUCGUGAAGAGGGAAACAACCCAGACCGCCAGCUAAGGUCCCAAAGUCAUGGUUAAGUGGGAAACGAUGUGGGAAGGCCCAGACAGCCAGGAUGUUGGCUUAGAAGCAGCCAUCAUUUAAAGAAAGCGUAAUAGCUCACUGGUCGAGUCGGCCUGCGCGGAAGAUGUAACGGGGCUAAACCAUGCACCGAAGCUGCGGCAGCGAACGUAUCACCCAAGACAACUUUACGGAGUUGACGAUUGACGGAGCGAAGCGACGUCAAAGCGUUCAUUAAAGUCGAGUUGGCUUAGGGAUACGUUCGUUGGGUAGGGGAGCGUUCUGUAAGCCUGUGAAGGUGUGUCGUGAGGCAUGCUGGAGGUAUCAGAAGUGCGAAUGCUGACAUAAGUAACGAUAAAGCGGGUGAAAAGCCCGCUCGCCGGAAGACCAAGGGUUCCUGUCCAACGUUAAUCGGGGCAGGGUGAGUCGACCCCUAAGGCGAGGCCGAAAGGCGUAGUCGAUGGGAAACGGGUUAAUAUUCCCGUACUUGGUGUUACUGCGAAGGGGGGACGGAGAAGGCUAUGUUGGCCGGGCGACGGUUGUCCCGGUUUAAGCGUGUAGGUGUGUGUUCCAGGUAAAUCCGGUUCACUUUAACACUGAGGCGUGACGACGAGGCACUACGGUGCUGAAGCAACAAAUGCCCUGCUUCCAGGAAAAGCCUCUAAGCAUCAGGUAACACGAAAUCGUACCCCAAACCGACACAGGUGGUCAGGUAGAGAAUACCAAGGCGCUUGAGAGAACUCGGGUGAAGGAACUAGGCAAAAUGGUGCCGUAACUUCGGGAGAAGGCACGCUGACACGUAGGUGAAGUGAUUUACUCAUGGAGCUGAAGUCAGUCGAAGAUACCAGCUGGCUGCAACUGUUUAUUAAAAACACAGCACUGUGCAAACACGAAAGUGGACGUAUACGGUGUGACGCCUGCCCGGUGCCGGAA